AGUGAACGCUGGCGGUAGGCCUAACACAUGCAAGUCGAACGGCAGCACAGUAAGAGCUUGCUCUUACGGGUGGCGAGUGGCGGACGGGUGAGGAAUACAUCGGAAUCUACUUUUUCGUGGGGGAUAACGUAGGGAAACUUACGCUAAUACCGCAUACGACCUACGGGUGAAAGCAGGGGAUCUUCGGACCUUGCGGGAUUGAAUGAGCCGAUGUCGGAUUAGCUAGUUGGCGGGGUAAAGGCCAACCAAGGCGACGAUCCGUAGCUGGGCUGAGAGGAUGAUCGCCCACACUGGAACUGAGCCACGGUCCAGACUCCUACGGGAGGCACCAGUGGGGAAUAUUGGACACUGGGCGCAAGCCUGAUCCAGCCAUACCGCGUGGGUGAAGAAGGCCUUCGGGUUGUAAAGCCCUUUUGUUGGGAAAGAAAAGCAGCAGGUUAAUACCCCGCUGUUCUGACGGUACCCAAAGAAUAAGCACCGGCUAACUUCGUG
rnacentral:rRNA from 1 species